rnacentral:lncRNA from 1 species
CGGUACACGAAUGUUACUUUUCCUCCUAUCACUAUAGAGGAUCGAUUAUUAGUACUGGUCGGGAAAGCCCUUUAGUACCGGUUUUUCGACCAGUACCGCUACAUCGGUACUAAAAAUAGCAUACUUUAAUUUACUCUAUUUUUCCACAAUUUAUUAGUCCUCUACCCUCGUAUUGAUCAAAUUCUUUAACUAAUACGAAAUAUGGUAUGCAAACUAUCCAAAAAAGUAUAGCUCAAAUUUAUCUCUUCCAUUGUACGCCAUACCC